rnacentral:tRNA from 1 species
GCAGCGGUCGUAUAACGGUGAAUAUGCCAGCCUUCCAAGCUGGAGAUGUGGGUUCGACUCCCAUUCGCUGCUCCA